CCACUGUGGGGACUAUGUAAAUCAUGCAGAGCCUUGAAAGGACUUUGGCUUUUACUCUCAGUGAGACGGAAAGGCACUGCAGAGUGCUGAGUUAUGUGUUUAGAGGGCCCCUUUGCCUGCUGUGUGGAGAAAAGAUGGCAAGAGUGAUGGGGCAGGAGCCUACUACACCCAGUCAGGGCGAGCCAACGGUGGUUCACACAGGAGCAACAGCAAUGGAAUUGGUGAAACCUGGGAAUCAGUCAAUAACUAGAAGAGAGGUUUUGCACUUGAAAUGAAACCAUAUCUCCCUUCUUCAAAGAAGAAAAGUCCUAACUGCCUGCUACCCAAGGAUAAAAAGGAACACACACAUUCGUCUCUCUCCAAAAUUAGGCUGGAAGGAGGGCAACAGCCAGCAACCAGAUGCCUAGCCUCUGACCUGGAUUUGCACUUUCCGUGGGUGAAGGAAAAGCACUGUCUCCACAUAGUGACGACUCAGAGAAGAGCUCUAGACUGCACUAUAUUCAACCCUCACAGUGGAAUUAAACUCCUGCAAACAGCACAAGUCAUAAUUGUGCCCGAUUCAGCUGCUCCCAGUGAAAUGAAAAAUUAGUACCAUGAAAUCUCGCAGCAACACUUGUCUUUCUAGCUCAUUCCUUCUUCCUGUUUGCAACUAGGAUGAACGUUCCCUAGAAGUUUCUGAUCAGAAAGACUAUUUUCAGAGCUGAUACUGGCUGUCUGAAGACAUUCUUCUUUGUUCAUUAGUAUCAAAGGCCCCCCUCCUCCCCUUCUCCUGUGUGGUCUGGCUAAAUGAUACCAAGGGAAAGCAUAUAAUGAUUUAGGUGAUUCAAACAACCUCAUUUGCCUGUCAUCUUUAAUUACAGAGAAGAAGGAAAAGCUUGAGCCUUUCAGAGACAUGGAGUACAAAUAUAUUCCUUCUUCGCACUUCACAGACAUCUGACUUGAAACCAGAUUAAUGAAUAUAGUACUUCCAAAGCAAUAAACUUCUACCUUUGAAGUCUCUGAAAUGCCAUUAUAUUGCUUGAAAGCCAUCUGGAAGAGGGCACUGUCAUGACUAGUCUUUGCCCAGCCAUAACGGGCCCUAUGCACCCUUGGAUGUGCCCUGUGGACAGAGAUCUCCUUUCCCCUUCAAGAGAACUCGAUCUCAUGACACUAUUACCUUUCAAUUAAUUGAUCUUUCAUGAUUUGUUAAGAUUUCAAGUAAACUUUGGUAACUCCAUAUACCAAAGCCCCCCCAAAGUAUUUUUACUUAUCAAAUUUUAUGUAUGUCAAACAUUUAACUGCCAAAUUUUAAUUCCUUGAAGGAAACUCUCAUGUUAAAAUUUUAAAUAAAAUGUGUGGCACUGAAAUAUUUUUCAUGAUGUAAAUGUUUUUCAUGAUGUAAUAGUCAUAAUGUUCUAACACCAAAAAUGUUUCCUCAUAUCUAUAUUAAAAGGAUUAAUGAUC